rnacentral:rRNA from 1 species
CCUACGGGAGGCAGCAGUGAGGAAUAUUGGUCAAUGGGCGCGAGCCUGAACCAGCCAAGUCGCGUGAGGGAUGACGGCCCUACGGGUUGUAAACCUCUUUUGCCGGGGAGCAACGGGCGCCACGUGUGGCGCCACUGAGAGUACCCGGAGAAAAAGCAUCGGCCAACUCCGUGGCAGCAGCCGCGGUAAUACGGAGGAUGCGAGCGUUAUCCGGAUUUAUUGGGUUUAAAGGGUGCGUAGGCGGACUGGAAAGUCAGCGGUAAAAUCGAGAGGCUCAACCUCUUUCCGCCGUUGAAACUGUCGGUCGUGAGUGGGCGAGAAGUAUGCGGAAUGCGUGGUGUAGCGGUGAAAUGCAUAGAUAUCACGCAGAACUCCGAUUGCGAAGGCAGCAUACCGGCGCCCGACUGACGCUGAGGCACGAAAGCGUGGGUAUCGAACAGGAUUAGAUACCCCUGUAGUC